ACCGCGGAGUGCUCGUAUUGGGCAAUAUAUAGGGUAGCCAUUUUUGUUUUUCGAGGAAAAAGAUCUAUACCUUAUUCAUUUGAAGCUCACAAAAAUUGAAGAUGGACUUUAUUACAUAUUUAAUAGGAAUAUCGCUGCUGUUGGUGUCAUAUAUUCAAGAUACCUAUGCGUACAGCUGUCGGUAUGGAAGUGGCGUAUUUUCCUCCUACAGAUAUUGUGCCUAUGGUUGUUGUGGUACUUAUAAUAACGUGUGCUGCAGUUACACCGCCAAUACAAGUGUUGUUCGAAUUGCCAGUAGUAUUACGUCAUUAGUUAUUACGGGUAUAGUUGUAGCUAUAGUUGUUUGUUGUUGCUGUAGACGCAGACGUAAUAGACAAAUCGUAACUAACAGACCUAACCCUAUGGUAUAUGCUAGCAGUACUGUUCAAACAAGCUCCAUGCAGCCGGGUGUGUCUUACCCUGCGCCUUAUUAUCCACAACAAGCACCGCAGCAACCAUAUUACCCACAACAACAAGCUGGGUAUCCAGGCCCACAUCAACCUGCGUAUGCUGCACCACCGCCAUCAUAUGAAUCAGUGGCCCAACAAGGGGCACAAGACAAUAAAGCAUACGAGAAAGCAUCGGCCCCAGAUUUUUAAUUUGUCAUAAUAAAAAAAUAUACCGUAUAUAUAUACAUAUCUAUCUAACGAUGCCCACACUGUAAAGUUUUAUAACAGACUGUCUACAAUUUGUUCCGCUUGAGAACAGACAACGAGCUAGUUGACCGACAUUUUAAUUUCUACAUCGACGAUUUCAGUCGAAUAUACUAAGUUUAUUUCGAGAAAAGUAAACAGUUCUCUGUGUACUGAAUGAAUAUUAUAAUUAGAGCUUCCAUUGUUUACCUUAAUUUUAAAGAAGACAUAAUAAUAUAUUUAUUAUGACAAUAGAACUAAUGGCGUGGCAGAAAUUAGCCAUCUUUAACCUAAUAAAUGUCUAGACACGUAAACUACGGUGAAAAAAUGAGACAUUGGCCUUAACGUACUUAAUAUGUUUCAAAACAACUAACAAAAUAUGGUAAAAGGGCUAAAGGGAUCAGCCCUUUAAAAUCUGUUUGUGUUCAUAUUGUAUACAGUCCUUACUUAUAUAUUUGAUACCUCAUUUUGUCUGAUUUCCAUUCCUUUUUUUUUUCGAACGUAGUCUGUGGGCCUACCUUUUGUUUCCAACGUAAAGAUUGUACCUUUUUUUCCAACGUAAAACUAUACCUUUUGUUUCCAAUGUAAAGUUUGUACAUUUUGUUUCCAACGUAAAGAGUGUACCUUUUGCACAGUGUUGGGUUUAACCGUCGAGAUCUGGUCGAAGUUAUUCCUUUUGGUUGAUUUGACAAUACUAAAAGACGGCGAAUUGUUAUAGUCUUAUAUGACUGUGAUUCUGCAUUGGUGACAGACAACGAGAAUCCCUUAUAAUCGCAUGACGUUAAGAAUGGACUGGUUUUAAUGGACAAGUUACACCAAUAAUUGACUUAUGGAAAAAUUUAACAAGUGACUCGUGGAAAUUUCCGCUGAUCAUUUGAUUUGAGCUCCUCCGAUCCGCCGGUGUAUGAAAAAGAAACGACAGACAAUCAAAAAUUAUUUCCAUGGACUGGAGACCAUGACUUACUUAGAGUAUAACCUGGACAGGAUAUAAUUAUAUUUUUAUAGACUCUACAAUUGUUAAAUCAAGUGAUUUGAAAUUUUUUAAUAUCAUCGUUAUAUUUUGAUUUUUGUUCCGUGUGAAUAACUUGUAUACAUUUGUUAACAAUUAUAAGUUUCAUUGUUAUUUUGUAAUAAAAGGAAUUAAACUGAA